rnacentral:rRNA from 1 species
GACAUAGGUGGCGAACGUUAUCCGGAAUUAUUGGGCGUAAAGGGUGCGUAGGUGGUUUAAUAAGUUACUGGUGGUAAAUCGGGGCUCAACCUCGUGGAAGUCAGUAAUACUAUUAGACUAGAGGACCGGAGGAGUUAACGGAAUGGCUCAUGUAGGGGUAAAAUCCGCAAAUAUGAGUUAGAACACCAAUUGGCGAAGGCAGUUAACUAUUCGGUUCCUGACGUUGAGGCAUGAAAGCGUGGGGAGCAAACCGG